GGGAUGGGGAGGAGGUAGAAUGAGACGGACACUACUACCCUACAGACGUGUGUGAGGACACCACUGGAGUGACCGCCCCGGGUGCAGCCAGAGGAAGAAGAAGCUGUGCUCCAUUUGUGAACAAUGUGUCAAAACGCAUUCUACUGUCACAUCUAACUAAAUAGAACAAAUUAAAAUAAACUUUAAAAAAAAAGGGAGGCUGGAGAUAUAGCUCAGAGGUACAGCGCUUGCCUAGCAGGCAUGAGGCCUGGGGUUUGAUCCCCAGAACCACGAAAAAUGGUGGGGAGAAUCCAUGAACACAUACAACAAAGGGCAGACUUCCUUC
rnacentral:lncRNA from 1 species